rnacentral:rRNA from 1 species
UCCCACCGCUGGCGUCCCCUCUGGCUCUCAUCCAAUGCGCCGCUCAAUCUCGAGGUUGACCUCGGCCGCAGCCUCCCGGUCUCCAAGAUCCUCUCCGACCACCCGGGCCCGGCCCGCCGACUGUCUCGACGACACUCCCGACCUCGCCCCCCUGGACGAUUGGAUUUGCUCCGGGAGCCUCGUCGUCCUCCAGGACCUCGAGGUCACCAUCUCCCUAUCGAAGGUGUCGGUAUGGCGGCACUUCCAGCCGUGGUUGCCGUCGGACGCGCUGAUCCUCUUCGCGCCCACGCUCCGUAUACUCACCUCACCUGCUGCGGAUUCCCCCGCCUGGUUCUGGAUGGCCUGCCACCGAGUUUUCCGCACCUCAAGCGGCUCUUCCUAUUCGAGGUCGGCAUCUCGGACGACUAUCUGCAGAGCAUGAUAUCCAACUGCCACUUUCUGCAAACCGUCUGGUUGCACGCCUGUAGAUUUGGUCGUCUUUGCAUCAGCUCGCCGACUCUCAGGAGCAUCAGAUGCAUCAGCUGGAAACGUGCCAUCACUUUACCAGAGUUGGUCAUUGAGGACACCCCUUCCCUUGAGAGGCUAGUAAUAACACUUCAUCAAGACUGUGGUCCGGCGACCAUCCGAGUAAUCCGGGCACCUAAACUGGAGAUACUUGGUUCGUUAUCUCAAGGCAUAUCCACUCUCCACAUUGGAACAAUGGUUUUUCAGAAAAUGGUUGCCGUCAGCUUGACAACCAAAAUGCACACAAUGAAGAUUUUGGUUCUGGACUCUGUUGGUCCUAAUCUGGAUUCGGUUGUUAGCUUCCUCAAGUGCUUCCCUUGCUUGCAGAAGCUCUAUAUCUUUUCGCAUCCAAGGAACUAUAUUAAUAAUGUGCGGGAGUAUGACCCAUUUGAUCCAAUUGAAUGCCUUGAACUCAAUUUAAAAAAGGUGGUGCUGAAGAACUAUGAUGGUAACAAGAGGCCAGUAAUUGAUUUUGCCAAGUUCUUUAUUUUGAAUGCGAAAGUGCUAGAGAAAAUGGAAAUCGGAGUCCUCAACCACUGCAACGACGAAUGGAUGCACUAUCAACAU